GAUGAACGCUGGCGGCGUGCCUAAUACAUGCAAGUCGAGCGAACAGACGAGGAGCUUGCUCCUUUGACGUUAGCGGCGGACGGGUGAGUAACACGUGGAAAACCUACCUAUAAGACUGGGAUAACUUCGGGAAACCGGAGCUAAUACCGGAUAACAUGUUGAACCGCAUGGUUCAACAGUGAAAGACGGUCUUGCUGUCACUUAUAGAUGGAUCCGCGCCGCAUUAGCUAGUUGGUAAGGUAACGGCUUACCAAGGCAACGAUGCGUAGCCGACCUGAGAGGGUGAUCGGCCACACUGGAACUGAGACACGGUCCAGACUCCUACGGGAGGCAGCAGUAGGGAAUCUUCCGCAAUGGGCGAAAGCCUGACGGAGCAACGCCGCGUGAGUGAAGAAGGUCUUCGGAUCGUAAAACUCUGUUAUUAGGGAAGAACAAAUGUGUAAGUAACUAUGCACGUCUUGACGGUACCUAAUCAGAAAGCCACGGCUAACUACGUG
rnacentral:rRNA from 1 species